rnacentral:lncRNA from 1 species
UUUCUUGUCUAAACAAGUCAAAGCUGAAGGAUCAUCUCAUAAAAUAGGCACAGAAUCUGGUUCACUGCUGUUUUGAAGUCAGGUGUUCAGACUGGGAUUUCUAAAGGGCAUAUAUAUAAAACUUAUAUCACAAUAAAGCCUCUCCUCUGGUAAUAUAAAUAGAGCAGUAAUUUUAAAUUUGUAAGCACAGAUAUAUACAUGUAUUAUUAUAUAAAAUAGUUGUUAUUGUCUUCUUCUGCAGGAUUUGCAUCUUCUUAGUGAUUAAGGAACAGAGAACAGAUGAGCUCUCUUGAGGCCAAAUUUAAUUUCUGAGAUUUAUUUGACCUGAGGACAAUUUGGCACAAAAUAGGCAAGAAAAGUGAAGAAUGCCAUUGGUGGUUAUCAAAAAGGAAAGAUCUCUCAGGAUCUGCAGCGCAGUGUGGCAGGACAGAGAUGAUGGAAAGGCCACAGUGACAUCCAACUGAUUAGAACUGCCUGCAAAAUGGUUUUCUCCAGCCCAAGAAAAUUUGGAGAAUACAGAAACCAUCCUCCUUUGUACACCAGGAGCUGCAGUCCACAGCUGAGCUCUCAUGAAAAGUUUCAGAUGCCUGGUCAGGGCUAUGUGAAGUGUUUCAUAAUCAGAAGACUCAGAUGAUGAACCUGACCUUUACAAGCAGAGCUGGAUUUUAAUUUCCUCUUCACCUUUGGGGAAUUCUGAUAUAUCAAGAUUUUGGUCCCAGCUGUAACAAAGGUGUCAUGGCCAAGUAUAACAUUUGCAUGAAG